GACACCGUGAGAUUAGCUGGUCAAAGCACCUGUCUUGUAAACAGGAGAUCCUGGGUUCGAAUCCCAGCGGUGCCU